rnacentral:rRNA from 1 species
GAUGAUCGCUGGCGGCGUGCCUAAUACAUGCAAGUCGAGCGAACGGACGAGAAGCUUGCUUCUCUGAUGUUAGCGGCGGACGGGUGAGUAACACGUGGAUAACCUACCUAUAAGACUGGGAUAACUUCGGGAAACCGGAGCUAAUACCGGAUAAUAUUUUGAACCGCAUGGUUCAAAAGUGAAAGACGGUCUUGCUGUCACUUAUAGAUGGAUCCGCGCUGCAUUAGCUAGUUGGUAAGGUAACGGCUUACCAAGGCAACGAUGCAUAGCCGACCUGAGAGGGUGAUCGGCCACACUGGAACUGAGACACGGUCCAGACUCCUACGGGAGGCAGCAGUAGAGAAUCUUCCGCAAUGGGCGAAAGCCUGACGGAGCAACGCCGCGUGAGUGAUGAAGGUCUUCGGAUCGUAAAACUCUGUUAUUAGGGAAGAACAUAUGUGUAAGUAACUGUGCACAUCUUGACGGUACCUAAUCAGAAAGCCACGGCUAACUACGUG